GAUGAACGCUGGCGGCGUGCCUAAUACAUGCAAGUCGAGCGAACAGACGAGGAGCUUGCUCCUCUGACGUUAGCGGCGGACGGGUGAGUAACACGUGGAUAACCUACCUAUAAGACUGGGAUAACUUCGGGAAACCGGAGCUAAUACCGGAUAAUAUAUUGAACCGCAUGGUUCAAUAGUGAAAGACGGUUUUGCUGUCACUUAUAGAUGGAUCCGCGCCGCAUUAGCUAGUUGGUAAGGUAACGGCUUACCAAGGCGACGAUGCGUAGCCGACCUGAGAGGGUGAUCGGCCACACUGGAACUGAGACACGGUCCAGACUCCUACGAGAGGCAGCAGUAGGGAAUCUUCCGCAAUGGGCGAAAGCCUGACGGAGCAACGCCGCGUGAUUGAUGAAGGUCUUCGGAUCGUAAAACUCUGUUAUUAGGGAAGAACAAAUGUGUAAGUAACUAUGCACGUCUUGACGGUACCUAAUCAGAAAGACACGGCUAACUACGUG
rnacentral:rRNA from 1 species